GAUGAACGCUGGCGGCGUGCCUAAUACAUGCAAGUCGAGCGAAAAGACGAGGAACUUUCCCCUUUUACGUUAGCGGCGGACGGGUGAGUAACACGUGGGUAAACUACCUAUAAGACUGGGAUAACUUAGGGAAACCGGAACUAAUACCGGAUAAAAUUUCGAACAGCAUAGUUCGAUAGUUAAAGAUGGCUUGCCUAUCACUUAUAGAUGGACCUGCGCCGUAUUAGCUAGUUGGUAAGGUAACGGCUUACCAAGGCAACGAUACGUAGCCGACCUGAGAGGGUGACCGGCCACACUGGAACUGAGACACGGUCCAGACUCCUACGGGAGGCAGCAGUGGGGAAUCUUCCGCAAUGGGCGAAAGCCUGACGGAGCAACGCCGCGUGAGUGAUGAAGGUCUUCGGGUCGUAAAACUCUGUUAUUAGGGAAGAAGAAACUUGUAAGUAACUGUGCACGUCUUGACGUUACCUAAUCAGAAAGCCACGGCUAACUACGUG
rnacentral:rRNA from 1 species